rnacentral:rRNA from 1 species
AGCGAAACCGCGAGGUCAAGCAAAUCCCAUAAAGUUGUUCUCAGUUCGGAUUGUAGUCUGCAACUCGACUACAUGAAGCUGGAAUCGCUAGUAAUCGUAGAUCAGCAUGCUACGGUGAAUACGUUCCCGGGUCUUGUACACACCGCCCGUCACACCACGAGAGUUUGUAACACCCGAAGCCGGUGGAGUAACCAUUUGGAGCUAGCCGUCGAAGGUGGGACAAAUGAUUGGGGUGAAGUCGUAACAAGGUAGCCGUAUCGGAAGGUGCGGCUGGAUCACCUCCUUU